GUCCAGCCGACGAAUCCCAAAUGGGACGAAACGCGUGUCCUGAAU
rfam:Schistosoma margrebowiei strain Zambia genome assembly, scaffold: SMRZ_scaffold0000448